GUAAAGCAUGAGCAGCCCUUGGGUCUAGGAGGUGUCACCCAAGGAGCCUCGAUCGUGACAGAGUUCAUGGCAUAGUCCCCUUAUACGCCAAUGGAACUGUGGGACCUGUGUAAGCAGUGCAGGCAACAGCCGGGUGAGCCCAUACUGGCCUGGCUCCUGUGGCUAUGGGAUGAGGGGGCGGAUAGUAUAAUCUGUACUUCUGAUGAGAUGGAGAAGCUGGCCUCCAUCAUGUUGCCCCCCUCCCUUUGGCAGUGGUUCCAGAAUAGCUGCCAGCUAGGCCAAGGGCAGGGAAAUCACUCCAUGAUGGAGUGGGUGACAGCUGCCGCCCGGACUGUGUGGGAUAACGCCGGGGAGCUCCUGGAGACUGUGAGCCAAUGGCAGACCUAUGCGGAACUGGUGCAAGUCAUCCAUCUACAGCAGGCUCCUGAUUCCCUGUGGAAGCAUCUGGCAACGUGGCUGGGCAGCCAAUGAUGCCAAAGUCCGGGGACCUGGCUUAUCUGUCAAAUUCUUGGGGGCUGUCUGGUCAGGCUCAGCAAUGGUUGUCCAGAAACCGCCCCAUGUGUGGGCAGGCCAUGUGGCAGGAACUGUGGGCCUUGGCCCAUGGAAAAGAGGUGACAGUGUAUCAUGUUCCUGGCCAUAUGCCUCUGACUGCUCCUGGGAAUGAUGAGGCUGAUGAUCUGGCCCGUGUGUGGUGGCUGGAAAGGGCCCCAUCUGCAGAUGUGGCACACUGGCUACAUUGACGCCUAAAUCAUGCAGGGAGCAAGACCGUGGGAACAGUGAGUAAGCACUGGGGGGUACCCCUCACGUGGCAACAAAUAAUGACAACAUGUAAAGAAUGUGCUGUAUGUGCCCAGGCCUUUCCUAAUAGAAGGAAACCAGUGUCCACACAGCAGCAAGUAGCUGGAGGGCGUGUGCCCUUGGUCUGAUGGCAGGUGGACUACAUUGGACCAUUACCAAAGACCAAACGCACUGUGUACGCCUCUACGGCUGUCGAUAAGGCCACCGGUUCCCUCUUUGCAUGGCCCUGUGCAGCCACAGAUCAGAGGCAGACACUUCAGGCCCUGCAGGUACUCUGUGCCUUUUAUGGUCGACCCUUGGUCGAGGAGAGAGACAAGGGGACACAUUUUACAGGACAAGAAGUCCAACGGUGGGCCAGCACCAUGGAUGUUCAAUGGCUUUUCCAUUCUCCUUUUAACCCGGCUGCUGCCGGGAGGAUGGGAAGGUACAAGGGGCUUUUAAAGCAGGGCUCACACACAGCCACGCAGCCUUCCUCCCUGGGAGGCUGGGCAAC
rnacentral:lncRNA from 1 species